AGGGUUAUAUCACUAUAGCUUCAUGAGACCGUCUCAUCUCUUCCUAUUUUUCCAAUCGGCAUCGAUAACCUCAUCUUCUCCGGCGAUCUCGAUCUCAAACCACCGCCACUGUAUCAAACUUCGGCCACUACAAACACACAAUUCUUCGGCUUCAUCCUUCAAUCCUUACAGAUGUGAGGAAAAGACCUAUGGGAUUCAGAAUGAAAAUCGAGCGAUAAUGAUGAGGAAUUGA